UGCCCAGAAACUCUUAUCUCUACCUCCUCGUGGUACUGGCCGGGGUACGAGCAACCUUAGGGAACAUCGGGUAAUCAACCCCGGUGGGAGCUUUACUCGUAUGCUGGCAGGGAAGG
rnacentral:ribozyme from 1 species